rnacentral:rRNA from 1 species
AGAGUUUGAUCCUGGCUCAGAUUGAACGCUGGCGGCAGGCCUAACACAUGCAAGUCGAGCGGAAACGGCAGCAUUGAAGCUUCGGUGGAUUUGCUGGACGUCGAGCGGCGGACGGGUGAGUAACGGCUGGGAACCUGCCCUGACGAGGGGGAUAACCGUUGGAAACGACGGCUAAUACCGCAUAAUGUCUUCGGACCAAAGGUGGCCUCUACAUGUAAGCUAUCGCGUUGGGAUGGGCCCAGUUAGGAUUAGCUAGUUGGUAAGGUAAUGGCUUACCAAGGCGACGAUCCUUAGCUGGUUUGAGAGGAUGAUCAGCCACACUGGGACUGAGACACGGCCCAGACUCCUACGGGAGGCAGCAGUGGGGAAUAUUGCACAAUGGGGGAGACCCUGAUGCAGCCAUGCCGCGUGUGUGAAGAAGGCCUUCGGGUUGUAAAGCACUUUCAGCAGUGAGGAAGGUGGUGUACUUAAUACGUGCAUUGCUUGACGUUAGCUGCAGAAGAAGCACCGGCUAACUCCGUGCCAGCAGCCGCGGUAAUACGGAGGGUGCGAGCGUUAAUCGGAAUUACUGGGCGUAAAGCGCAUGCAGGCGGUUUGUUAAGUCAGAUGUGAAAGCCCGGGGCUCAACCUCGGAACCGCAUUUGAAACUGGCAGGCUAGAGUCUUGUAGAGGGGGGU